CGUGAUGGAAUAAUAAUUCCAUGACCUUGGAAUUCAGGGGAUUCUGGUAACAGCCCCCCCUACAACCUUUCCCCCCCCACUCCCCCAAACCUGCCCUCCUUUCCCCCGGAGAAGGCAUACAGGUUCAGUUUUGUCCUUGAUCUUGCUGCCUCCUCAGAGGGGACUGUUUUUCCAUCCACCCACAUUGUCUUGUCUGAGCCUCCUCAGAACCAAAGGGUAACUUACCUGAAAGGUGCUUGAGCAGGCUUGACGGCUUCUGUUGAGGCAGAUGCUGUCACAGAGGGUAUCGAGAGAGAGUGUAUGCUGUGAUGACAUUUGCCUCAAAUGAAGUCGCUGACAGGCCAGGUGUAUCGAAGAUGAAGAUAUUUGAAAAUUCCACUUAGCAAGAGCUUUUCUUUGAGGAUUCUCUUUUUCUUCCACCUCUGGGUUUAUGCCCCGUUUUCUUCCCAUGUGAUUGACAGUCAACCUUCCUGCCCUUAGUAGGGCUGAUUCGCAGUGUGGUGUCCUAAGCAAAGGAUCCACAUGGGACCGUAUCUGCACUUAACCUCCACGGAACGGAGUUACACAAUCAGCUGCCGUGUGUGAACUGUGGCAUCCGUGUGGCAUAGGACCAGUGUCACUCACGAAAGCCUGCUGUGUCCAGGAGAACGGAGACACUUUCUCUGUGGCUGCUUUCCUCGCUUUGCGGUUCACCGGGACUCUUUAAUUUCACUUUGCUGGAGAACCCAGCUUUCAAACUCACACCACUCUACAGUCAAAUUCGAAGUCUGUGAAAACACGACCAAGAGAACAUUCUUUGGCCUGGAAGGUUUGAGGAUAUCACAGGAAGGCCUCUCAAGCCCUCUUCUGUCAUCUCGAAAGCAGGAGAAGGAACCUGUGAUCCCAAGGCUGGACACAGGGCAUAAAAUUCCUCCUCUUUCCUUCUUGCUCCUUCACCCUCCUCGUACACCUGCCAGUAAGAGGCAACAUGACAGACUAAAGCGUGACAAAAGCAAGCGAUAAGCUAAGCAAUAGAUUUAGCAAAUAAAAAUAUUGCUGGGGGCAUAAACCUGAAAA